rnacentral:lncRNA from 1 species
GUCAAAAGUGAACGCUUUUGGAAAGCCACUCUUGGAAGUCACUCUUCAAGUGACUCGUCUUUGGAGGGGAAAAAAGGCAGUAAUGUCAUUUAUUUUCAGUCUGGUACCAUACUGGUAGCAAGCCCGCAUAAACAGCUACUGCAACGGGGGAGAGAAAGAAGAGCGGGAAGGGAAUGAGUGUGUAAGAGAGAGAUGAAGAGAGGACGGAGGGUGCGGCGAGGUCCCCGCCCACAGGGCAGGGAGUCUCCCGAAAAGGCUCCCGAGGAAGGGGGAGGCUCCGCCCGCCCAGACCGGACCGUCCCACCCCGCAGCCCGAGCCCGGCCGCUCCCCGCCGCCCCCGCGCGCGCCCCCCAACGGCCGCAUGCCCCAGGUGACGUCAUCGCCGCCCCCGUCUCCUAGCAACCAGCGGCCGCCGCGAUGCCCCUCGGAGACCGCGGCCGCGGUUGGCCUCUCCGCCGGCUUCGCUCCGCCUUGGCAUUCCACUUAAAACGAGCCUAAAUUACACUACAACAGUUCAAUAUGGAAGGCAUCUUCAUCACCUUAUAGAACUAGCAGGAUACGCUGUGAAAGAAUUUAAUCCUCAAGAUGCCCUAACUCUUCUGAGGAUUAGAACAGACAAAUAUGAAAUCUUGGUGAUCCCAGCUAAGGAAUAUCUUCUUGCUGUUCUUCAGGAUCCAUACCCUAUUUAUUUUGUUAAUGAAAUGUACAUCGCCUUGAUUCUAUUUAGUUGCCAUUGUUUUUACAAGAUGUUCUUCCCCUUGACUCUAUUUAUUGCCAUUGUUCUUGUCUGUCCGUCUCCCCCGAUUAGACUGUAAGCCCGUCAAACGGCAGGGACUGUCUCUAUCUGUUGCCGACUUGUUCAUUCCAAGCGCUUAGUACAGUGCUCUGCACAUAGUAAGCGCUCAAUAAAUACUAUUGAAUGAAUGAAUGAAUACGAAUAGACCUUCUGCAGUCUUAAUCUUGCAUUCAUGAAACUAUACUUUGAAAAAGGCUCAGGUUUUCCUUGUGGGCCUUACUGAAUUUACUAGUAUAUUGAGAUUGUCUUUACUAAAACUGUCUCUAGCACAGCUUCUUAGUUUUUGUUUCUGGUAGUAUUUUAAAACUGUG